UACAUAGCACAUAACAUUUUUGGUUUUAUAUAAUCUUUUCUAAAUUAGGAUGAUUUGAUAUGUUUAAUAUUAGUGGUCUUAAAAAAUAAGAAAUUAAAGAUUUAACCCGUAUUGAAACGGUGUAUUAAUUAUAUUUUACUUUUUUAUUAAUUUUGAUUCAAAAACCCGUCCCUCCAAAUCCGUCUUGCUAAAAUGCCAUUUAUUUUAAUAA
rnacentral:sRNA from 1 species